UACAGAGACUGCAAGCGUUAUUCGGAUUCACUGGGCGUAAAGGGUGCGCAGGCGGCCAAGUGUGUGAGGCGUGAAAGCCCGGGGCUUAACCCCGGAAUUGCACCGCAAACUACAUGGCUAGAGCAUUGGAGAGGGUAGCGGAAUUCACGGUGUAGCAGUGAAAUGCGUAGAUAUCGUGAGGAACACCAGAGGCGAAGGCGGCUACCUGGACAAUUGCUGACGCUCAGGCACGAAAGCGUGGGGAGCAAAAGGG
rnacentral:rRNA from 1 species